UUGAGGGGAAGUGAUCCACGCAUUGGUUCUGGUUCCCAGGUUGCAAGCCAAGAGACUUAUGGAACCUUGGGUGCAAUUGUUAGAAGCCGAACUGGAAAUCGACAGGUUGGUUUCCUCACUAAUCGACAUGUGGCUGUUGAUUUAGAUUAUCCAAACCAGAAAAUGUUUCAUCCUUUACCACCAAGCCUUGCACCUGGGGAAUAUUUGGGAGUUGUGGAGAGGGCAACAUAUUUUAUCACAGAUGAUCUUUGGUAUGGAAUCUUUGCUGGAACAAACGCAGAAGACAUAACGAGGAAAAUCAGAGGAAACAGAAACAUAGAAAAAUAGCAAAAAGUAUAAGUGAUCUCUAAAUUAGAGGAACAACCUCAUCAAAUUUUGUUCAUCGAAGAAGGUGUAGAGGAGAAUAAUACUGAUACUGGUGAAGGAACUGGUGAUGAUGAAUGCAUCUCUAUUAUUAAUGAACGAAACAUAGAAAAUGUAGGUUCUUUGCACUUGCAAGAUCAGGAUGAGUGGACAUUAGAUUGUGCUGAGGCAGGGGAGCUAGAGGACAGAGCACAUUAUCACCAGGCCGGUGAAAGCAGUGUACCUGAAACUUAAGAUACAAAUGACGAGGUCUCCCUUUGCUCUCUUAACCUUUAUUUUUAAAUCAACGUUUUUAGUAGAACAAUUAUGUGUGCUCUUUUCAUUCUUUUUGAAACUGUUCGGAGCUGAGUUCUAUUCUCGGUCUCAAGUAUGCUGUUAAAUUUAUUUCAAUACUAUUUAGGCUUAAGUGCUUGACGUAGAUGAAUAUGGAUAUAAUAUUAUCCUAGAAAUUACUGUUAUCUUUAGUUAGUAUCUGAUUUUAUUUGAAGUUCUCAGAGUAAGUUUUGUUUUUAGUAAUAAUUGCCUGUCUAUAAAUUAAUUUAUCUUAAAGAAUCUCCUCCAAAUGAUUUGAAGAACCUUAUGAACAGUGUCUCUUCACACAUUAAGCGAAAGACCGAAAGGAAUGAAAAAUUUUCAAGUGGAAAAUAGUCAAUUGCCCUUGUCAAACAUCGUCAGUAGAGUGCGACUUUUAUAUCAUAAGGAUGAUGAAAGACUAUUGCUUGAAUGAGAUACACAUGCGAUGGCUAACUAGUAAUUGUGGUGGGAGUAAUACAUAUACACUAGGCGAAAUUAAUGAAACUCGAAAUGAAUGGGCAGCCAAGCUUCUUGAGCGGAUGAGUCAUAGCUAGAGUAAUUUUUUAAA